rnacentral:ribozyme from 14 species
AGACAUAGAACAUGAAUAAACGCAAAGGAGGAACAGAUAAGCUAUGUACGUGUUUGGAUUUUUUUUUUCGUUUCUGUUCUACUUUAUCAUCGACUACUUCUUUUCCUCUGACCAUUUUAGAUAACAGAUAAACAAAUAUCGUACAGAAAAGCCAAAAUGUCAUGUAUUAUCAUUCUAGUUUUAGCCGUUACCAGCGCAUUAAGCCACGACCAAAACAAUUCACACAUUCCAUCACAUUGAUCCGAAUGCAUGUACAUACAUUUGUCCAAAUAUAUCCAUGUGGAAGAAUGUAAAAAAGAGGUUGACAA